CUGCUGCUACCAUGAGACUGCCCCACCCUACCCCACGGCCAGUGGUGUAUACGCUUCCCUCUCUGUCAGCGCUUGAGAUGGGCUAGGUUGGUUUUUUGUUCCAGCUCUAAAAGGUACAUAGGGGACUUCCCUGGUGAUCCAGUGGUUAAGAAUCACCUUGCAAUGCAGAGGACGCAGGUUCAGUCCCUGGUUGGGGAGCUAGGAUCCCUCAUGCCGAGGGGCAAAUAAGCCCAUGAGACUCAAACGCAGCCCACAGGCUUCAACGACAGGUCCCCCAUGCACAGCAAAGGUCCUGGUGCCGCGACCAAGACCCAACACAGCCAAGUAUUUUAAAGAUUUCUUCCUGCUAUUAAGACCGAAUUUAACUCCAUCUGGUCAGAUAACAUAUUUUGUAUGACACAAGAUUUAAAAUCUUGGCUGAAGCUACUUCCUGCUCGAGAACGUGAUCUCCCUCAGUUAAUGUCCCACGUGCACUGGAAACGAACAAUGAGCUGUCACGCAGUGGAGGUUCUCCACCGGUCCUGAGAGGUGACUUCACUCUGCUGCAGAUGAAGUCGUUCUUCUGCAGACGGAUUUGGAGCCCUGGUUCCACAGCCUGCUUCUCCCCUGGAAAACUCCCUGACCCACAGUCCUGACGCUGGGGGCAAGAACCACGGCUCGCACGGUCUCACCCCCACUUUAGAAGUUGAGUGCUUGGAGACAUCCCUGGCGGUCCAGUGGUUAAGACUCCGCGCUCCCAAUGCAGAGGACACAGGGUCGACCCCUGGUUGAGGAACUAAGACCCCACCUGCUGCAGGGCAAGGCCGAAAAGUAAAAAUUAAAAGGCGAGGAAGAAGUUGAGUGCUUGGUGGGUUGGGGCCGGCCGCUCCAAUUCUCGGCGGGGAAGCCCCCACCACCAGCCAGAGUGUGGAGAGAGGGAACCAGCACCCUCAGCGCCUGAGCCCAGGGUGGGGCCCCGGGUGGGGUCUGAGCUGGAGCAGGACCCACCCUCAGCCACACUCACUCAGGAUUUAGACUCAAACGCAGAUGUCGGAGGGGCAGGGCAAGAAACGCUGACAAGCUGCCCUCCCGGGAAGGUAGCCCAACAGUGGGAUGCCGGGGGCGGUGGGGAGUGUGGGGGCCCCGGCGUGUGGGGCUGCCUGGCCUGGGGUGGGCUUCCGUCCUGCUGAGCCAGAGUGCGGGGGUUCAGGGGUACACACCUAGGUUCACAGACCCCAGACUCUUCCAGUUCUUACCAAGUUCUAGUAGAUUUUAUGGGAUGAAUGUUUCUUCAUUUGAAAUGGCUCCAGGGUCAUUUCCAGAGAACAGCCAUUUGCAUUUUUUAAAAAAUAGUCUCCGGUUUUACAUUAAGUGGAACCACAGAGCCCCCUUGCUGUCGUGCGGAGAGCAGAGCGCCCUGCAGCUUUGUGAUUCGGCGACGUCUGAAUGUGAGAUCUUCACGAGUUCCCCUUCGGCUAUGCACCUGAUGGAAAGUUGGUGCAGGAAGAACAUGGUCCCUCCAAAGGGACCCUCUGCUCAGCUCUCCUCCCGCGACCACUGUCCUCUGUCCAGCGCUUCCUCCUUGGCAACACACAGGAUUUUAUUCCCUUACCCUGUACAUCCAAACUGUAAUAAAU